UGUUUAUGAGUGCUUAUCUGAAUGGGG
rnacentral:piRNA from 1 species